rnacentral:rRNA from 1 species
GCCAGCAACGAUGGCAUGUUGAAUGUAGCAGUUCCCAAUGUAUCACUGAAGUUAAGUAAUCUUGCACAAGGUUGGUAUCCGGGUGGGUGACCGUCUGAACAAUCGCCCCCUGCUGACU